rnacentral:tRNA from 1 species
GCCCGGAUAGCUCAGUUGGUAGAGCAGAGGACUGAAAAUCCUCGUGUCGGUGGUUCGAUUCCGCCUCCGGGCACCA